rnacentral:rRNA from 1 species
GCACAGGUGCUGCAUGGCUGUCGUCAGCUCGUGUCGUGAGAUGUUGGGUUAAGUCCCGCAACGAGCGCAACCCUUAUCCCUAGUUGCCAUCAGGUAAAGCUGGGGAACUCUGGGGAGACUGCCGGUGAUAAACCGGAGGAAGGCGGGAUGACGUCAAGUCCUCAUGGCCCUUACAUCCCGGGCUACACACGUGCUACAAUGGCAGGUACAGAGGGCUGCGAAGCCGCGAGGUGGAGCGAAUCCCAGAAAACCUGUCUCAGUCCGGAUUGAAGUCUGCAACUCGACUUCAUGAAGGCGGAAUCGCUAGUAACCGCGAAUCAGCAGGUCGCGGUGAAUACGUUCCCGGGCCUU